rnacentral:rRNA from 1 species
ACGGAAGGCAGCAGUGAGGAAUAUUGGUCAAUGGACGGAAGUCUGAACCAGCCAAGUCGCGUGCGGGAUGAAGGCCCUACGGGUCGUGAACCGCUUUUGUACGGGGAUAAAGUCACCCACGUGUGGGUGUUUGUAGGUACCGUAAGAAUAAGGAUCGGCUAACUCCGUGCCAGCAGCCGCGGUAAUACGGAGGAUCCGAGCGUUAUCCGGAUUUAUUGGGUUUAAAGGGUGCGCAGGCGGGCUGCUAAGUCUCCGGUGAAAUGUCAGGGCUCAACCUUGGCACUGCCGGAGAUACUGGCGGCCUUGAGAGUGGCGGAGGUAUCCGGAAUGUGUGGUGUAGCGGUGAAAUGCAUAGAUAUCACACAGAACACCGAUUGCGAAGGCAGGAUACCAUACCAUAUCUGACGCUCAGGCACGAAAGCGUGGGGAUCGAACAGGAUUAGAUACCCUGGUA